rnacentral:rRNA from 1 species
GUGCAGCAGGCGAGAAACCUCCGCAAUGCUCGAAAGAGCGACGGGGGACUCCAAGUGCCUACGCUCAGCGUAGGCUGUUCCCGAGCCUAAAAAGCUCGGGGAGUAAGGGCUGGGUAAGACGGGUGCCAGCCGCCGCGGUAAUACCCGCAGCCCGAGUGGUGGCCGCUAUUAUUGGGCCUAAAGCGUCCGUAGCCGGCUCGGUAAAUGCCUGGGUAAAUCGUCUGGCCCAACCAGACGAAUUCCGGGGUAGACUGCCGGGCUAGGGGACCGGAGGAGGGAGAGGGGUACUCCGAGGGGUAGGGUGAAAUCAGCAAGGUGAGUUGCUGAUGUAACUUGCCUUGCAAGUCAC